AUGUUCCUCACAAAAAUUCACUCAAUAGAUAUAGAUUUCAAAAUAUCUCUCACAAAAAUUGAAGCAACAAAGACACUACCAAAUUGUCAAAAAAUUAACAAAUUUGGAAUAUGUUGUAGUUUCUCUAACUCCCUUCCACAAGAAGAAAGAAAGCAAAAUAAGACCAUGCCACACACUACUACUUUGCUGGUACCCCACACUUCGGUUUCUUUAAUCCAUGCUAAAUUCAGUGAGAAAUCGAAUACAAGGAAAAACACACUGCUUGGCAAAUCACGAAGCCAUCUUAUGCAUAAUUCUUGUCAGGAUAUGUUGUUCCCAGCAUCGGGGAGGCUUUGGGACGAAGGGUACGGAUGCUAUGACUCAGCCAACAAGGAGCGUUGCAUCAUCCCAUGCCCAACCCUUCCUGCUUUCUCGUGCUACCACUUUGCUUUGCACCCCUGGUCAUCCAAAUAA
rnacentral:rRNA from 1 species